UAACGGCGAGUGAAGCGGUAACAGCUCAAAUUUGAAAGCUAGCUCUUUUAGGGUUCGCAUUGUAAUUUGUAGAAGAUGCUUCGGGUGUGGCCCCGGUCUAAGUUCCUUGGAACAGGACGUCAUAGAGGGUGAGAAUCCCGUAUGUGACUGGGUGCUUUCGCUCAUGUGAAGCUCUUUCGACGAGUCGAGUUGUUUGGGAAUGCAGCUCAAAAUGGGUGGUAAAUUUCAUCUAAAGCUAAAUAUUGGCCAGAGACCGAUAGCGCACAAGUAGAGUGAUCGAAAGAUGAAAAGCACUUUGGAAAGAGAGUUAAACAGUACGUGAAAUUGUUGAAAGGGAAGCGCUUGCAACCAGACUUGCGCGCUGAUGAUCAUCCGGGCUUCUGUCCGGUGCACUCGUCUGCGCUCAGGCCAGCAUCGGUUUCGGUGGUGGGAUAAAGGCCUUGGGAAUGUAGCUUCUUUCGGGGAGUGUUAUAGCCCUCGGUGCAAUGCCGCCUACCGGGACCGAGGACCGCGCUUCGGCUAGGAUGCUGGCGUAAUGGUUGUAAGCGACCCGUCUUGAAACACGGACCAAGGAGUCUAACAUCUAUGCGAGUGUUUGGGUGUCAAACCCAUACGCGUAAUGAAAGUGAACGGAGGUGAGAACCCUUAAGGGUGCAUCAUCGACCGAUCCUGAUGUCUUCGGAUGGAUUUGAGUAAGAGCAUAGCUGUUGGGACCCGAAAGAUGGUGAACUAUGCGUGAAUAGGGUGAAGCCAGAGGAAACUCUGGUGGAGGCUCGCAGCGGUUCUGACGUGCAAAUCGAUCGUCAAAUUUGCGUAUAGG
rnacentral:rRNA from 1 species